AUGAUUGCGAAUGGUUGCCUUCAGUGCUGGCUCUUAAGAGCAAGUGCACGUUGGUGGCUUUCAUCCAAUACACACUCUUGUGAACCUUUGGCCUCUUGCUAGCUUUGGCUGGUAGAGGAUUUUUACACAUAUACUCGAAUGUAAUGAAAAACUAUUGUCGUGCGCAAGCACUAAUGUA
rnacentral:misc_RNA from 1 species